CAAGAAAUUUGUCAGUACUUUCACCUCUGACUCGGGGCCAAACAUACUAGUGCAGAGAUGGAAUAGGAGAGCUAGCCAUAGGAAGUGCUUGCAGACACAGUUCUACCCAUCUAAAGGAGAGCUUUUGCAACAGUGCACUGAGUAACUGGUGUAGAAUUACAAGACAGCAGAACACUCGGUCCUAAAGUCACACUAGAAGCUGGAAUAGGAGGAAUCUGUACUAAAAUCUCCUUGUGGGGCUGCCCUGGAGGCUUUGAGUGACUGUGACUUUUGCUUACAUGAAAUAGAAAAUCACCCUUGUACCAGUUGUUAGCUAGCCACUCCUACCAGGAAUGAGCUCGUAAGGACUUGCUUUUCUUUGU